GACAGAGGUGCCAAGCGUUAGGCGGAAUCACUGGGCUUAAAGCGUGUGUAGGCGGAAUGGUAAGUACCUUGUGAAAUCCCACGGCUCAACCGUGGAACUGCUUGGUAUACUGCUUUUCUUGAGCCACUUAGGGGCAACCGGAACAAACGGUGGAGCGGUGAAAUUCGUAGAUAUUCGCAAGAACACCAGUGGCGAAGGCGGCUCACUGGCCCGGAACUGACGCUGAGGCACGAAAGCGUGGGGAGCAAACAGG
rnacentral:rRNA from 1 species